rnacentral:rRNA from 1 species
GAUGAACGCUGGCGGCGUGCCUAAUACAUGCAAGUCGAGCGAAUGGAUUAAGAGCUUGCUCUUAUGAAGUUAGCGGCGGACGGGUGAGUAACACGUGGGUAACCUGCCCAUAAGACUGGGAUAACUCCGGGAAACCGGGGCUAAUACCGGAUAACAUUUUGAACCGCAUGGUUCGAAAUUGAAAGGCGGCUUCGGCUGUCACUUAUGGAUGGACCCGCGUCGCAUUAGCUAGUUGGUGAGGUAACGGCUCACCAAGGCAACGAUGCGUGGCCGACCUGAGAGGGUGAUCGGCCACACUGGGAAUGAGACACGGCCCAGACUCCUACGGGAGGCAGCAGUAGGGAAUCUUCCGCAAGGGACGAAAGUCUGACGGAGCAACGCCGCGUGAGCGAUGAAGGCUUUCGGGUCGUAAAACUCUGUUGUUAGGGAAGAACAAGUGCUAGUUGAAUAAGCUGGCACCUUGACGGUACCUAACCAGAAAGCCACGGCUAACUACGUGCCAGCCGCCGCCGUAA